rnacentral:lncRNA from 1 species
CUCUUUCAAUAUCCUGCUCUUUCUGAGAUCUUUUGGAACUGUUAUCAACUUGGCUUCAUUAAGACUCCUAUUUUUACUUGCUUUUCCUUGAAACUGGUAUGUUCUGAUUUAAUUUUCUGCUUUACCCAUAUAUGCUUACUUCAUAGUUUCAGCAUCCUUGUUUACUUUGCUAUUGUUGUUAAGUGAUUGCCCAGGUCAUAACCUGAUCCACAAUGGAUCGGGCUAAUAAGCUGGUUAGGGGUGUGCUAGCACUCCCAAUUGCUAGGCAUGACCACCAGCCUACCGUGGUAUUCCCUAAUUCCCUCUUUAUGAACUUGCACUUACUUUUGGACCCUAAGUUCUGGCCCCCUCAUAUGAGCUUUGUUUUGGGACCCUCUAAACUUGGACAUUUGAGGGCUGACCCUUCCACACUGCACUAUGAUCUAAUUCUGCAAUGUAUUUGGGGUGUAAGCACUGCCUGGAGCCCUUUAAGACUCUUGGGAACUUUGACACAUCCCAAAUAAGAUAAAGACUUUUGGAAAUUUGAUCCUAGAAGUUGGUUUAUCUCAUAUUGUUAGACCUUGAGUCUGAAUUGGGUUGUUUGGGUGUAGCUUGAAAUUUUUAUGUAAUUUAUUACUUUUUCUGGUUCAUUUUGGUUUGUAAUAAUUUGUAAUAAC